CUCCUACGGGAGGCAGCAGUUGGGAAUCUUGGACAAUGGGGGAAACCCUGAUCCAGCCAUGUCGCGUGAGUGAUGAAGGCCUUCGGGUUGUAAAACUCUUUCGCGCACGACGAUAAUGACGGUAGUGCGAGAAGAAGCUCCGGCUAACUUCGUGCCAGCAGCAGCCGCGGUAAUUC
rnacentral:rRNA from 1 species